rnacentral:rRNA from 1 species
AGAGUUUGAUCCUGGCUCAGGAUGAACGCUGGCGGUCUGCUUAACACAUGCAAGUCGAACGGGAACCUUCGGGUUCUAGUGGCGGACGGGUGAGUAACGCGUGAGAAUCUGCCAAAAGGACCGGGACAACCACUGGAAACGGUGGCUAAUACCGGAUGAGCCGCAACGUAAAAGAGGAAACUCGCCUUUUGAAGAGCUCGCGUCUGAUUAGCUAGUUGGUAGGGUAAAAGCCUACCAAGGCAUCGAUCAGUAGCUGGUCUGAGAGGAUGACCAGCCACACUGGGACUGAGACACGGCCCAGACUCCUACGGGAGGCAGCAGUGGGGAAUUUUCCGCAAUGGGCGAAAGCCUGACGGAGCAAGACCGCGUGAGGGAGGAAGGCUCUUGGGUUGUAAACCUCUUUUGUCAGGGAAGAAGAAAGUGACGGUACCUGACGAAUCAGCAUCGGCUAACUCCGUGCCAGCAGCCGCGGUAAUACGGAGGAUGCAAGCGUUAUCCGGAAUUAUUGGGCGUAAAGCGUCCGCAGGUGGCACUUCAAGUCUGUCGUCAAAGACCGGGGCUUAACCCUGGAAAGGCGAUGGAAACUGAAAGGCUAGAGAGAGGUAGGGGUAGAGGGAAUUCCCAGUGUAGCGGUGAAAUGCGUAGAGAUUGGGAAGAACACCCGUGGCGAGAGCGCUCUACUGGACCUCAUCUGACACUCAGGGACGAAAGCUAGGGGAGCGAAUGGGAUUAGAUACCCUAGUAGUCC